UAUAAGUUGUUCGUAAUUUUUUCUUUGAUUUGCGACAAUUGCCAUAAAAUGCGCAGUUCCGUAGCGAAUGUCAACAUGUCCAGGUCGUUUCCCGUAGAAAACCCCGACAGGAUUGUUUUGUAAAAUCUAUAAGCUGUGAUCAUUAUUGAAGCAUUGUAGAAGCCCAGGGAUGAUUAAACCAAUUUUAAGUCACCCAUUUCUUUAUGCCCGGGACACCCGAUCAACCAAAAGAAACUUGAAGGUCACAAACAUGCGAGAUUGCAGACCCACGUUGCCUCGAUCGCCUGAUGCCAUGUCGUGCCACUGUGCAGUAAGAUUGUACAUGAGGAAACAACAUUACAGUAUUUAAUUUACCCAGGAGCUAGUACACUACCUGUAGUUGAAAAAAGACUGAAGGCCAGACUUAGGCAGGAUGAUUGAACAAAAUCUGCUUGCAGAUGGACUAUUGAGGCAAACAAAUUGGACUCUCAGCAGGUGAACAGAUGUUCAGCAAGAAAUUCUCACAUCAAAUGCUGUAGAUUACACUGAUAUACCCCCCCCCCCCACACGCAAAGAAAAAAAGAACAGAGAGACCAAUCAUUAACAGCUUGAGACUUAGUGCACAUAACCUUGCCACAGAAAAGGGGAUCGAGAAAUUUGCCUAUAAACACUCCCUAAUAAAAGAUUUUGUAAAUUUUUUGUAACACAGGAGAGAUUUAAGAUGGUUUUUAUUUUCAAUUCAGCUACCAAAAAUACAAUAAUUAUAAGGUAACAUUUGA